AAAAAGCGGAGGAAAAGAAACCAACAGGGAUUGCCUCAGUAGCGGCGAGUGAAGCGGCAAGAGCUCAGAUUUGAAAUCUCACCUAGUGUGCGAGUUGUAAAUUGCAGGUUGGAGUCUCGGGUUAGACGUGUGUGCAAGUCCCUUGGAACAGGGUGCCACUGAGGGUGAGAGCCCCGUAUCGUGCAUGUCGACACCUGUGAGGCCCUUCUGACGAGUCGAGUUGUUUGGGAAUGCAGCUCUAAGUGGGUGGUAAAUUCCAUCUAAGGCUAAAUAUUGGCGAGAGACCGAUAGCGAACAAGUACUGUGAAGGAAAGAUGAAAAGCACUUUGAAAAGAGAGUGAAACAGCACGUGAAAUUGUUGAAAGGGAAGGGUAUUGGGCUCGACAUGGGAUUUACGCAUCGUUGCCUCUCGUGGGCGGCGCUCUGGGUUUUUCCUGGGCCAGCAUCGGUUUUCGUUGCAGGAUAAGGACAAUUGGAAUGUGGCUCCUCGGAGUGUUAUAGCCUUUUGUAGAUGCUGCGUAUGGGGACCGAGGGCUGCGGCGGACUCGUUUCGUCUCGGAUGCUGGCACAACGGCGCAAUACCGCCCGUCUUGAACAACGGACCGA
rnacentral:rRNA from 1 species